rnacentral:misc_RNA from 1 species
GAUGAAGAACGUAGCGAAAUGCGAUAAGUAAUGUGAAUUGCAGAAUUCAGUGAAUCAUCGAAUCUUGAACGCACAUUGCGCCCCUUGGUAUUCCGAGGGGCAUGCCUGUUCGAGCGUCAUUAUAACCCCUCAAGCUCAGCUUGGUGUUGGGGCCUGCUGCACUGGCAGCCCUUAAAAUCAGUGGCGGCGCCAUCUGGCUCUAAGCGUAGUAAUUCUUCUCGCUAUGGAGUCCUGGUGGAUGCUUGCCAUCAACCCCCAAUUUUUCUAUGGUUGACCUCGGAUCAGGUAGGGAUACCCGCUGAACUUAAGCAUAUCAAUAAGCGGAGGA